UGCAAUUUAUCCAUCGACUUUUUUAUGGCCACGAAGCCUCCAAAACCCUGCAGCUCGAGUGGCCCAUCUAGGGUUCUACUCCUCCCUCCUCCUCCUCCCCAAAACCCUAACCCCGCGUCCUCUUCCUCUCCGUCGUCCACAUGGGCACCCCCGAGACCUCGCGCGAGCCGUGCCCCGACCGGAUCCUCGACGACGUGGGGGGCGCGUUCGCCAUGGGCGCAGUGGGGGGCUCCGCGUACCACUUCAUCCGCGGCCUCUACAACUCCCCGAACGGCGAGCGCCUCGCCGGGGGCGCCCAGGCCGUGCGCAUGAACGCCCCGCGCGUCGGCGGGAGCUUCGCCGUGUGGGGCGGCCUCUUCUCCGCCUUCGACUGCUCCAUGGUCUACCUCCGCCAGAAGGAGGACCCCUGGAACUCCAUCAUCGCCGGCGCCGCCACCGGGGGCUUUCUCCAGAUGCGCCAGGGCCCUGGCUCCGCCGCCCGUUCCGCGCUCUUCGGCGGCGUGCUCCUCGCCCUCAUCGAGGGCGCCGGGAUCAUGCUCAACCGCGUCCUCUCCGCGCCGCAGAACCUACCCCCCAUGGAGGACCCAUCCGCCAUCGGCCUCCCUCCGACGAUCGCGAGGCCCGGUGUUCCCUUGCCGACAGCGGAGGAGGAAUCCGGCGGGGGGUCGUGGCUCGGGGGCCUCUUCGGGGGCGGGGGCAAGAAGAAGACGGACGACGGGAAGGGCGGGGGCGGAGGAGGAGGAGGGGGGGGCAAACCGGAGGUUUUGGAGAGCUUCGAUACCCCGAGCACGCCUAUUCCGAACUUCGAGUACAAAUGAGGGAUUUUUGAAAGGGGUGAUGUGCCAGAAGCACGGAAGUCGAUAUGUUCAAUCUAGUGAACUGAGGCGCCAAGGCCGUAAGAAGCAAUGGAAACUGCCAAAAAAUAUGGUUUUUUGGAGCAAACAAUGUUUCAGCUUGACCAUCUACAUGCUAUACUUCUGCUGGGCACUUUUCCGAAUUCCAUUUGAUUAACCUAAUGGAGGGAUAAUGUGGCAACUGAUUCAAUUGCAACAUCAUCCGUUGGAGGUGACGAAGCAAUGGUGUGUCUUCAAUUGCCACAAUAAUUCUUGAAUAUAACGUGAUGGUCGAAUUAUAAUUGCAAUGAGGUGAUAUGGUAGUUGAAUUAACUGUCAUAUUAUCACCUGUCAUAUUAUCACCAUGCCAUCUCUUUGAUCUCUUGGGGCGACGGAGUAAUGUGGCAGCAAUUAAGGAAAUUAUGCAGAGUUUGAUGGUGUAAAUGAUGGAAACUGAGAUUGUUACUCUGGUGACUUAAUGGCAACAUAGUAGGUAUAAUAUAAUAGCCAUCAUGCUAA